rnacentral:rRNA from 1 species
GAUGAACGCUGGCGGCGUGCCUAAUACAUGCAAGUCGAGCGAACAGACGAGGAGCUUGCUCCUCUGACGUUAGCGGCGGACGGGUGAGUAACACGUGGAUAACCUACCUAUAAGACUGGGAUAACUUCGGGAAACCGGAGCUAAUACCGGAUAAUAUAUUGAACCGCAUGGUUCAAUAGUGAAAGACGGUUUUGCUGUCACUUAUAGAUGGAUCCGUGCCGCAUUAGCUAGUUGGUAAGGUAACGGCUUACCAAGGCGACGAUGCGUAGCCGACCUGAGAGGAUGAUCGGCCACACUGGAACUGAGACACGGUCCAGACUCCUACGGGAGGCAGCAGUAGGGAAUCUUCCGCAAUGGGCGAAAGCCUGACGUAGCAACGCCGCGUGAGUGAUGAAGGUCUUCGGAUCGUAAAACUCUGUUAUUAGGGAAGAACAAAUGUGUAAGUAACUAUGCACGUCUUGACGGUACCUAAUCAGAAAGCCACGGCUAACUACGUG